CUCCACGGGGGGCAGCAGUGAGGAAUAUUGGUCAAUGGGCGCGAGCCUGAACCAGCCAAGUCGCGUGAGGGAUGAAGGAUCUAUGGCUCGUAAAACUCUUUUAUAAGGGAAUAAAGUGCGGGACGCGUCCCGCUUCGCAUGUACCUUAUGAAUAAGGAUCGGCUAACUCCGUGCCAGCAGCCGCGGUAAUACGGAGGAUCCGAGCGUUAUCCGGAAUUAUUGGGUUUAAAGGGUGCGUAGGCGGCCUUUUAAGUCAGCGGUGAAAGUCUGUGGCUCAACCAUAGAAAUGCCGUUG
rnacentral:rRNA from 1 species